UACGUAGGAUCCGAGCGUUAUCCGGAGUGACUGGGCGUAAAGAGUUGCGUAGGUGGUUAGUAAAGCGAAUAGUGAAACCUGGUGGCUCAACCAUACAGACUAUUAUUCGAACUCACUAACUCGAGAGUGGUAGAGGUAACUGGAAUUUCUAGUGUAGGAGUGAAAUCCGUAGAUAUUAGAAGGAACACCAAUGGCGUAGGCAGGUUACUGGACCAUUUCUGACACUGAGGCACGAAAGCGUGGGGAGCGAACCGG
rnacentral:rRNA from 1 species